rnacentral:rRNA from 1 species
AUAAUACUCCAUAGAUUAGAGACACUGGAAUGUUCUUUAGUCGAAAGUUCUGGCGCCUUAGGAUGGAUCUGCGGUCGAUUAGGUUGUUGUUGGGGUAACGGCCCAACAAGCCUGUAAUCGAUACGGGUUGUGGGAGCAAGAGCCCGGAGAUGGAAUCUGAGACACGAUUCCAGGCCCUACGGGGCGCAGCAGGCGCGAAAACUUUACAAUGCAGGAAACUGUGAUAAGGGAACUCCGAGUGCCCGUAUACGCGGGCUGUCCAGGUGUUUAAAAAUCAUCUGAAGAAAGGGCCGGGCAAGACCGGUGCCAGCCGCCGCGGUAAUACCGGCGGCUCGAGUGGUGGCCACUAUUAUUGGGCUUAAAGCGUCCGUAGCUGGACCGAUAAGUCUCUUGGGAAAUCCGCCGGCUCAACCGGCGGGCGUCUAAGGGAUACUGUUAGUCUAGGGACCGGGAGAGGUGAGAGAUACUCCGGGGGUAGGAGUGAAAUCCUGUAAUCCCCGGGGGACCACCGAUGGCGAAGGCAUCUCACCAGAACGGCUCCGACAGUGAGGGACGAAAGCUGGGGGAGCGAACCGGAUUAGAUACCCGGGUAGUCCCAGCCGUAAACUAUGCGCGUUAGGUGU